rnacentral:tRNA from 1 species
UGGAGUAUAGCCAAGUGGUAAGGCAUCGGUUUUUGGUAUCAGCAUGCAAAGGUUCGAAUCCUUUUACUCCAG